UAAUACUUAGUACUGUUUCCUUACUGUGGUCUUAUUGGUUUUCAGACUGACAAUGGUACAGCCCCACUAUUCUCUAUACCUGAGAGUGCAAUACCGAAAAAUCCAUUUACAAGCGUGCUUCUCCGUUCCCGUUUGCCUUUUGAUGUAUCGUGUAACCUUUUGAAUUCGAGUGCAGGGAAAUACAUAGUCCCUAAAUGUAAUGAAGGCUUUUUUAUGGAAUUCCUUACAGAUUUACUGCUAGGCUUGUCUUACCAGUUAAGAUCGGCGGGGAGAGAUUACUGAAAGAUGUCCUGGAAAUCCUUCCAUUCCGAUUAGGUGCUUAUUGGGUAACAUUGAUGCUCAUUAUGAGAAGGCAUUGGAAGUUUCAAACAGCAAUACAUGACUCCAAACAACUGAACUGGUGAUUUCUAGGACUUCGUUUUUGUACACACUCCCGCUAUUUUCAUGUUGAUCUAGUCAAUAAAGCUAAAACUAAGUACUGUGAAGAUAUUUGAAGAAACAACCUAGUGACAGUAGCUUUAUAGCAUUUUUCUUAUGUUUCAUAAUGGAAUUUUAUUGUGUAUAUUUAAACUAAGUUCAUAAUGUCCUAAAGUGCUGUUAGCAUGGGUGAUUGUCU